AAAUCUUCUACCUAAUUUUAUUUUGUUCUUAUUAAUUUCAGACUUUGUUUCCCAUUUCCGGACUUGUAGUUCUUUAGCAAAUUCUGUAGUAGCUCAUGACUAGUGACAAUCCGAUGUAGGGCUGUGACGGGAUGGUUCCUACUUGUUAUUAUUGUUUUCUGCACUUAUGAUUAUGCUUAUCAUGUUUUGGCUUUAUAAAUAUUAAAUAACUGUUAAAAGGAAUCGUUUGUGUUGUUGGCUGGCCUUGUCUUCACGAGAGGCGCCACCACGACUGGAUUUGGGAUUUGGGUCGUGACACUUUACUUAAGUAUAAUUAGUGUAGUAAUUACCCGGACAUUAGAUUCAAUUCUGCUAGUUUGUUAGAGUUUGGGCUUAGUUGAUUCUUAAUUGUUUAAUGGAAAAUUGAUUCUUAUUUUUUCCAGUCCUUUGAUUAGUUAACUUGUCUAGUUUGGUCUAGGUGUUGUUGGAUUAACCUUGGUUGAGUAAAUUGUUUGGUUAUAGCUCAUAGGUUAAUUCAACUAAGGUGGCAAUUUCAAGGGGUUCGGGGGUAUUUUAGGCUUUAGUAAUAGGGUGCAAUGCUGUAGAAAUAGUUAGAAGUUCCAAAAUCUUUGUAGAACAGGGUACAGGUCAAGAUUUUGAUAAAGUUAAGGCACUUACUUGAGUAACAAGGUAGGAAAUAAGGGACAUAUAAGCAAAAAUGAAAAUUAAAAAAGGACUAAGUUUGAAAAUAGAAAAUAAGGGUUGCCAUCAUUUGUGCCUUUCAUUCACAAGUUUUGGAGCCUCAAAUUCCCCCAAAAAAUCAGUCUUCAGAUUUCCUGCUGAAUUUUGAAUUUCAGAUUCAAUUCUAGAUCUAGUUCCUAAAAAAACCAAAACAAACAAAAAUCUUCAGAAAAGAUCAAAAUAUUGUUCCAUUAGAAAGUUUAAGGAAUUUUGAUUUUUAGUUAGUCGAUUCACUCCUUUUAGUUCAAAAUCUGAUGGUUGAAUAUUCAGAGAUUCACUAAACGGAUUUCAAGUUAUUUUUUGUCUAAUUGAGUGAAUUUCAAUCGAGUUAUGGCCUGCUGAAUAUUUCAAGGGUGUUCUGGUGCAUUUACUGGGUUCAUUUUCAAAUUUGCUAAGUUUAUUUUGGUAUUGUUCAUGCUUGGACGGAAACUGGCAACAUUGUUUGGUCUGUGACUUCUAUUCGAAGAUGCUAUUGAUUCCCUGGUUAUAACUGCUGACCUUCUCUUCUUCUUCUGAUAUUUCUAAUCUCGAGGCACACGUUUCAGCCUGUUUUGAUGUAAUCUCUCCCAUGAACUGGAAAUGCAAUGGAAGUUUGAUAUUCUCUAAAGCUUCCCUAUUUUAUUAGUUCAUUACUUCUUUAGUUGAUGCAUUGCUUUAGCCUAGCUGUAUUGGACUAAUAGAAUCACCAAUUUGUAAUAAUCUGUGGGACUGCUAAAUUGGAGAUUGUCCAUUGGCCUUACGGUGGUUUAGUUUUGUUUUUGUGAGAUUCAAACUAAUUAGGAGAAAGUUUGAACAGAAAAUUGUUUUUGGGAGACUUCUGACCUAUAUUCAAAGUUAAUAAAUUGGAAUUUGGUUUAUUGUGGUUAAUCAACAAAAAAAACGUUGCACUAUUAACAUAUGCCAAUUUAGUAGCCAGUUGCUGAUUAGAAUCAAAUUACAUGCUCAUGUAUAGCAUUCUGAUUCAAUUAUGUAUUGCUAAUGGUAUAUCAUCGAAUUGUCUAUUCAUAGCAAAUGGGAUGCAAUGUUUAGUUCAAAGUUGUUUACUUAUUUGCAAAUCAUUAAAACCCGUGUGUGCAUUAAAAUAAGUGAUUGGCAAUAAGCAGAAUCAACCGCCAGGGUUUAUCUAUUUAUGCUAGAUGGGUUCGAUGUAGGUCAAAUCCUCCCAACAGACUGGUUAACGUCGGGCCCAACUAAUUCCCUUUCUAUGGAGAUGGCGUGUUGGUUGCUUUUGAUAACAAGCUGACUCAUUAGUCCAUUAACAUGGACUUAUCUUGAAGGCUUCAAUCCAUAGUUUAACGCAGUCUAAGUUUGAGCCUUCAAGUUAGGUAGCGGGUUCAAAAUAUAAAAAGAUUAUAGUUCUCUUUAGGUUUGCCUUUAAUUAAUAAUCAGACGAGCCUCACCGAAUAAAGGAUACAAAAUUGCGGUGCCCUCAAUAAAUAGUUAUUAAAAUACAUAGAAAUUCAGGAUGGACCGUUUAGCGAAUUACGCGAAUCUCCCAAAAGAUAACAACGUGUUAGCCACUUUAGGCGCGAUUUAAAUAAAAUUAAAUUCUUAAACUCUGGUGUGCAUUUCAUGUGACCCAAAUAAAAUCCCAAAACGUUGAAAAAAAUGUAUUCAGGAUUGCGAGUGUAUUUUAUGUGACGCGAUCCGAAGGCACUCUUUAAACGACGUUCAACUUUCUUUCUUUUUUAAAUUACUUAUGAAAUAAAAGCGGAAAAAAAUAAAAUUGGCACUUAGGUUCUUCAUGUAAUCAGAUACAUAAUAGUAGUGCAGUGAUGGCCUCGAUCACCUGUCAACGGCCUUGCUGAAGCUUUUAACAAGACACUUGGCAACCUUUUGAAGAAAGUUGUUGCAAAGAAAAAGAGAGACUAGAAUGAGAGAAUUGGUGAAGCUUUGUGGGCAUACCGGACAAGCUUCAGAAUUGCUAGGCAAGCAACUCCUUACUCUUUGGUGUAUGGUGUAGAAGCAGUCCUACCGUUGGAAUAACAAAUUCUAUCAUUGCGGACAGCAAUCCAAGAAGGACUCAUGGCCGAUGAGAAUGCUCAACUUCACCUAGCAGAGUUAGAGGCAGUGGAUGAGAAAAGAUUGGAAGCGCAACAAAAAUUAGAAUGCUAUCAAGCUCGACUAGCUAGAGCCUUUAACAAGAAAGUGCGGCCACGAUCAUUCCAAGUGGGAGACUUAGUCCUAGCUGUUUGACGACCCAUAAUACUCAACAAACGCGUAGGCGACAAGUUUACCUCAAAAUGGGGUAGGCCAUAUAUUGUGGAAGAAACCUAUUCAAGUGGCGCAUACAAAAUUGUCGAUUAGGAUGGUCUCAGAGUUGGUCCGAUCAACAAAAAAAUUCUGAAGCAGUACUUCCCAUGAAAGUCACCUACGAUCCUCGACGUACGAGCCUAAACUACAAGUCAUUACACUCCUUUAUACAUGAGCCUAAACUACACGUUUCUACACUCCUAGCCCCCAUGAGUCUAAACUGUGCUAAGUUGAAAACCUUGAAAAAGGCGGCCUAGGCAAAAUUGACCAGUAAAAAAAA
rnacentral:lncRNA from 1 species